rnacentral:lncRNA from 1 species
UUUUUUUUAUCCCUCUUGAAAUUAGGUGUCUUCAGUAAGUAAUUUAAUAUCUGAGUUUUGAUAUUUUUUUCACUGAUUUAAAAAAUAAUACGAAAAUUGGACUAAAUCAGUAGUUUUAAAAAAUAACUCUUGCCAGGCAGUGGUGGCACAGGCCUUUAAUCCCAGCACUUGGGAGGCAGAGGCAGACGCAUUUCUGAGUUUGGGGUCAGCCUGAUCUACAGAGAAACCAUGUCUCAAAAAAAUCCCCCCAAAAAAACCCAAAAAAAACCAAAACCCAAACAAACAAAACCACCUCAUUAAUCCUGAAUGAAAUUGAAAGCUCAGUAUUUAAAAGGGCUAUUUGGCACAGAUGACAUCAGAGCGUGACUAAAGACCACACUGAUCUCUAGGGCAACCCUUAACAUGGCUCCCUCCACCCCCAAGUUAACUGCUUAUACAUGUUAGGACCUUUUAAAAGAAACACCAGAUGGUGCUCUAAACAGUCUGUACCAACGGGUUGAUCACAAUCAUAAUAAAUAAGUCCACAGUACCUAAAGCAACAUUUACAUUAAAACAAAAACAAACUAGAGCUUUAGGCUAAAAUGAUCUGUGACUAGAAUCUUCUUGUCCUGUGAUGACACUUGCAUGCUUGCUCAGUGAAUUCAUAUGAGUCACUGGGGACUAUCAGGUGGCAUCUUAUCUUAGGGUAUGUAUUCUUGUGUUAAGUCUUUUCUCCACCAACUUGAGUCAGUCUACUCCGCAUCAAAAAUACAAGAGCCGGAGCUAAAACAAACUAAAACUGAUGCAGACAUUGGUUCAAAUGGGAGGCUAAAGCAGAAUACAGAGUUUGGGUGGACAAAGAUUCCAAUAGCCAUGUCAGGUGAACUAAAAGCUAUUGUAGCACUGAUGUACAUUCUUAUUUAGAAGGAGAAUUGUACAAAAUAAGGUCAGUGGCAGGAAUGAGAGCAAAAUUUCACUUAUCUUUUGAGAGCUUUUUUAAAUUGCAAAAUGAUCAAAUCUGUUAAUAAUAGUUUCUAUAGUGAAAAUGGUCUUCCAUCUGUGUUCUAGCAACCGUGCACCUCUUUCCAGCAGCUUCACAUUACUACUACUGAUGCAUUCUCUUUGCAGUGGUAUUAAUUAUAUGCCUUACUACAGUUAUUUCUUAUAUUUACGGAUAAUCAGCCAAGUAUGUCUAUAUAAAUAUAUAAGCAUCGAUUUAGAAAGAGGUUGGUGGAUUUUGCUAUUAUUAUUGGAUUUUAUAUAUUAGAAAUGAGACAGUGAUUUGGAACACUUUAAACACCAUACGUUAUGUCCCAGUUUGAACUAGCUCUAGUUCAGUAGCUCAGUUGUAUAAUAUGUAUAAUAUAUAGCUGGAGAUAGUGAUGUAGGAUAAGCUGCUUUAGUGAAUAUCUCUUGAUAUAUAAUAUAUACAUUGUAGACACUGCCAGUUAUUUAGAUUGACUUCUGAUUAUAUUUUGAGCAAAGUUAUCAACAAAGUAUGACUUAAUUGUUUAACAUCUCUUACGAAAUUAAUAAUUUGAAAUAAAAUUAAGAAUUUCAAGUUAUUAAUUGAAUACCAUAUUUUCCCCCGAAGUAUGUUUUGCUACUGAUUGUAAUUCAAAUAUCUUCUUUGGUUGGAAGGCUCAGGCAAGCAUAUACCUAAGCUUAUGUGAGGCCUUAGCUUUAAUUUUGAAAAGUGAAAAAACGAGAGACCAGCCAAUCUCUGUGUAUAUGAGUUCAACUGGGUCUGCUCUAUAAAGUUAGUUCCACCUAGCCAGGGCUUCACAGUGAGUCUCAAAAAUAAGUAAAUAAUAAAAUAAAAACUGUCUGAGAAAUGUUAUUCAAUAACUUUGACCCUGUGUGAACAACAUCAAGCAAUGGUUCUCUACUUUCCUAAUGCUGUGACCUUUAGUACAGUUCCUUGUGUUGUAGUGACCCCAACUGUAAUAUUCUUGUUGCUUCUACUUCAUAACUAUACGUUUUACUGUUACAAAUUGUAAUGUAAGUAUCUGGGUUUUCUGAUUAUCUUUUGGGAGACACAGCCCACAGCUUGAAAACCACUGUCAUAGAGCAUGUUUAUAUAAACUGAGGUGGCUCCAACAUCACUAGGUUAUUACACAGUGAGUGACCAGGUUGAAAGUCAUUUUAAAAAAAAGAAAUACAAUGUUACUCUAAAGUCAGUGUCUCUCUUCCUCUGUAUAAUUCGAUAGUUGCUAAAAUCCAAAUGACUUGUAAUGAGAAACGUGCUAUGAAUCGUCAGAGAGGUAUUGCUAAUUUAUAAGGACACAUGUUUGUCCCUUUUCUCUGAUUACUUACCUGAUGGCAUAUAGCAUGGACAAUGUACUUCAUAGAAUUUAUAAAGUGGUAGCCACUGGAGUUACAUCAUAAAAACACUUGCUGCCAGCUAAUAUGCUUGGCAGUUUUAUCUGUAGCCGAGCAAGCAAUCACCUUUAAGUUAUUCAUUCUUCUCUUCAUAGACAUUUAAAUAAUACAAAAAUUAUAAUUAUUAUUCAAUGUGCUUGCAUAUUAAAUUGGGAGGGAAUAUAAAGGUACCCUAAAAGUAUUUCUCUGCCAAGUUAUUAAGCCUUUCUCCUUUGCCUGUAUUUUCUUUCGUAGGUCAGAUGUACCAGCAGUACCAGCAGCAGGCUGGCUACAGUGCCCAGCAGCCUCAGGCCCCUCCUCAGCAGUAUGGUGUUCAGUACUCAGGUGAGGAGGGGUUGAAAGACAGUUAACUUUCCGUUCUUCUUCCUGAGUACUUGAUCUGUAAUGUUCACACUGUCGGAAGUGUUACUUAUGAGGGCAAGCAGUACUUAGUUAUGUUUUAUCAAAUCAGCAUUUUCUAUUUUUAGUGAGCAAAUUCAACGUAAUUAUAGAGAUGAUUCUACAGUAAUCUACAGUAUAAAUUGUUUUACUACAAAGCUAUCUCUUACAUUAACAAUCUAACCUCUUAGGUGACUUCAAAUUGAGAAAAAAAUUAUAAGAUUUUCUUCUAUUUGUAUCACUCAUAUUUCUAGAGUACUCUUAGUAUUUGUAGGUAUAUCAACAAUUUCCCCACACAUGCAGAAGCGAAUUUAAUAAAAACUAAGUUGUUUUAUUUAAGGCUGUUUAAAAUACUCUAGAAUACCAAAAAUAAAACAUACAAACAAAAUUACAGUUGAAUUCAGGCAACUAAGAGUAUUCAGUGUUUUAACUGUGCUGACGUGAAGUGGCACAGUUGAAAACCCAGGGGAUUUCAACACAUAGAAAUCUGCAUCGCCUGAGGAGGUUUCUGUAGGUGGUCCGUUCCUAUACACAGAGGAGUUUGUUUGAGUUUUACCAUCUCUCCACUGAAGAUUAUCUAUAUUUAAUAUGAUAAAUUUCUUUUGUUUUAACUGUGGUUAUAAUUUAGGUAUUUCUUCUAGUUUCAUCAGAGUGUCUCUCUACCAUGUAUAGUCAAAGAUUAAAAUAACUUCUAUAAAUUGAAUUUUAACAAAAUUAUAUUUUGGGAGUUUUGUGUUAUUAACUAAAGAAUAGGAGUAUAGAUCAGCAAAUUGCAGAUAGAUAGAUGGCUAGCUAUAGAUAGACUAUAGCAGAUACAGCUACAGUGUAAAUCUGCUACUGCCUGGUUUUGUAAAGGAAGCCUCACUUGCACCCUACAUGUUUCUCAGUUGUCCCUGUUGCUGCUGCACUUUGGCACUGCUGAGAGUAGAGUGAGUAGUUGGAAAGUGAGAGAAGCAGUGUAGCCCACAGCACCUAAAAUAUUUACUAUCUGGCCCUUUAAAUGAUCUUUUAUUGGUCCAGACAGUUGCUGAUUGCUAACCUAGACUACAAAAUUUUGUCAUUACUAAAGUUUGGUAUAUUUUUACACAAAGAAUAAUUUUUGGGGUUUUUGCUGUAGAGUGAUUUUAUUUUAUAGUUGUUAGAUCUGAUUGC